rnacentral:rRNA from 1 species
UAACGCGUGGAUAACCUGCCUCACACUGGGGGAUAACAGUUAGAAAUGACUGCUAAUACCGCAUAAGCGCACAGUACCGCAUGGUACGGUGUGAAAAACUCCGGUGGUGUGAGAUGGAUCCGCGUCUGAUUAGCCAGUUGGCGGGGUAUCGGCCCACCAAAGCGACGAUCAGUAGCCGACCUGAGAGGGUGACCGGCCACAUUGGGACUGAGACACGGCCCAAACUCCUACGGGAGGCAGCAGUGGGGAAUAUUGCACAAUGGGGGAAACCCUGAUGCAGCGACGCCGCGUGAGUGAAGAAGUAUUUCGGUAUGUAAAGCUCUAUCAGCAGGGAAGAUAAUGACGGUACCUGACUAAGAAGCCCCGGCUAACUACGUGCCAGCAGCCGCGGUAAUACGUAGGGGGCAAGCGUUAUCCGGAUUUACUGGGUGUAAAGGGAGCGUAGACGGCAUGGCAAGUCUGAAGUGAAAGCCCGGGGCUCAACCCCGGGACUGCUUUGGAAACUGUCAAGCUAGAGUGCAGGAGAGGUAAGUGGAAUUCCUAGUGUAGCGGUGAAAUGCGUAGAUAUUAGGAGGAACACCAGUGGCGAAGGCGGCUUACUGGACUGUAACUGACGUUGAGGCUCGAAAGCGUGGGGAGCAAACAGGAUUAGAUACCCUGGUAGUCCACGCCGUAAACGAUGAGUGCUAGGUGU